GUGAUUCUCUUUUCUUCUCCACAGCAACUCCAAAGUCUCAUUCAGCUUUUCAAAGACAAGCUAAAUAAUAGACAUUUCAUUUUGCAAAUGUAUUUCUCAAAUUGUUUCCAGCCCCAGGAUCAUUUAAGGAAGGAGAGAAGGAGGAGCCAUUGGGAAGGGCAUGAGGGGGCUUCAGAGUACUGGCAAUGUUUUCUACCUGGAAGACAGUUACAUGGGAGGAGGCCACUGCCAUGGUUCAGGGACAGUCAAGUACCCUAUGGAAAGACCCGUGUGAAGAACUGAGGUUUCUUGUCAACAGCCGAUGCCAACUUUCUACUCAUUUGAGUGAGCCAUCUUGGAAGCAAAGCCUCCCAGCCCUGGUCAUGCUUCCAGAUAACAACAGCUUCAGCUGCCAUCUUGU